GCGAACGCUGGCGGCAGGCCUAACACAUGCAAGUCGAACGCCCCUUUCGGGGGGAGUGGCAGACGGGUGAGUAACACGUGGGAACGUACCCUUUGGUUCGGAAUAACUCAGGGAAACUUGAGCUAAUACCGGAUACGCCCUUUUGGGGAAAGAUUUAUCGCCGAAGGAUCGGCCCGCGUCUGAUUAGCUAGUUGGUGAGGUAAUGGCUCACCAAGGCGACGAUCAGUAGCUGGUCUGAGAGGAUGAUCAGCCACACUGGGACUGAGACACGGCCCAGACUCCUACGGGAGGCAGCAGUGGGGAAUAUUGGACAAUGGGCGCAAGCCUGAUCCAGCCAUGCCGCGUGAGUGAUGACGGCCUUAGGGUUGUAAAGCUCUUUCGGCGGGGACGAUAAUGACGGUACCCGCAGAAGAAGCCCCGGCUAACUUCGU
rnacentral:rRNA from 1 species